CAGCCGUAAACAAUGUGCGUUAGGUGUGUCGGUAACCACGCGUUACUGAUGCGCCGAAGAGAAAUCGUGAAACGCACCACCUGGGAAGUACGGUCGCAAGGCUGAAACUUAAAGGAAUUGGCGGGGGGAGCACCACAACAGGUGGAGCCUGCGGUUUAAUUGGAUUCAACGCCGGACAUCUCACCGGAUAGGACAGCAGAAUGAUUGCCGGGCUGAAGACCCUGCAUGACUAGCUGAGAGGAGGUGCAUGGCGUCAGUG
rnacentral:rRNA from 1 species